ACAAGGCACUUCACUCCUCCUUCCUUCGUCUUAGCUGGCUUAUUCCGAAAAAAACUACAGAAGACUCCGUUUGGUGUCAGCUACUCCAUUACCUUGACACAGAAUGCUCCGAGUUACACCUGCAUUACCUGUUGCUUAUUUUACAAGAUGAGAGCGAGGACAUAAGGAAUCCGUUGCAUCACCUCAAGGCUGUCAGUGAUAGCAACGGACUGUACAGGCUCCAUCACGUUGUCAUGGAUACAGUUGUCGGUGGUGACUGAACGUGGAUUCCUGCUGCUUUUUAUUUACGAGAGAGGUCAGGUGGAAGGGGAGAGGUUGUUACUUUCUGUCUGACCGGGUAAAUUAAUAGAGACGUGUAUGCUAGUAACUGUGUGUGUGUGUGUGUGUGUAUAUUGCAUAUGAAUUUAUAUGUAUAUAUACUACACUCUCUGAGUGGUUGGCGUUAGGAAGGGCAUCCAGCUGUAGAAACUCUGCCAAAUCAGAUUGGAGCUUGGUGUAGCCAUCUGGUUUCACCAGUCCUCAGUCAAAUCGUCCAACCCAUGCUAGCAUGGAAAGCGGACGUUAAACGACGACGACGACAACAAUAUACAUGCAACACAAUGAAAGCAGAGAGAGAGAAAGAAAGACCUUUUAUUACAGCACAAUGAAAGCAAAGAGAGAGAGAGAGAGAGAAAGAAAGACCUUUUAUUACAGCACAAUGAAACCAGAGAGAGAGAGAGAAAAAGAAAGAACUUACAGCACAAUGAAAGCAGAGAGAGAGAGACAGAGAGAAAGAAAGAACUUUUCUUACAGUACCAUGAAAGCAGAGAGAGACAGAGAAAGUAAGAGAGAGAGAGAGAGAGAGACAGAGAAAGAAAGAGAGAUAGAGAGACAGAGAAAGAAAGACCUUUUCUUACAGUACAAUGAAAACAGAGAGAGAAAGAAAUAAUCAAGUUCAGUACUCAAUUUCUACAUUAUUUACUAAUCCAGUGGGAUGAAAGAUAAUGCUGAUCUCUGCAGUAUUUGAACCCAGAAAACAUGACACUUUGCCAUUUGGCUGCUCUUCCUCACCGAAUAAAAACUGAAUUUAUUUCUAUGCUGGAAAAUAACUUUGUUUUUAUCACCUCUGAAUAAAUAUUCACCUCCACCACCACCACCACCACCACCACCACAACAACAACGUGGUCAAUCGUUAAAACACUGUAUUACAUGCGUAUAAGAAGGGAUGACCACUAGGUGGACAUCCGAUAUGCUAGAAAGAGGUCAUCAACGACCCAACCACAAAGAAAAAUAAUGUUCUCCAGAAAAAUUCAGCAAACACCAGAGCGUGGCGAACAAAACUUCUGGAGAACAUUAUUUUUCUUUGUGGUUGGGUCGCUGAUGACCUCUUUCUAGCAUAUUGGACGUCCACAUAGUGGUCAUCCCUGGCUUUAAAUUGAAUUUAUUAUUCAGUUUAUCACCCUCAGUAUAUAAAGUUAAAACACUGUAAAUAGCUUUUAAUAAAUCUUUAUGAGAAAGUU